rnacentral:lncRNA from 1 species
CCCUUUGCCCAGCGCUUUAUAGCAUAUCGCCUCUUCUAUGGGGCUCCUCAAGAACUGUAUUCCAGAAAUUACUGGAAAUGUGUCCUCUUCAGGAGGCAGUGUUUACAUCUUACCAUCUUACUGGACUCUUUCUGUGAGGCUCCUCACAUACCUUUAAGAAGAGCAGCAUUUCCCUCGUGUGAAAUGUAGAGGUGAGCUUGGCUUCCUGUUUGCCGGGAGUAUCUAAAGCAGCCGUUCUUACCCUGUGGGUUGAGACCCUCAGAGGGGUCGCAUCUCAGAUGAUAUCCUGCAGUCAGAGAUCCUGCACAUCAGAGACCCUGCAUAUCAGAGAUCCUGCAAUCAGAGAUCCUGCACAUCAGAGACCCUGCACAUCAGAGACCCUGCACAUCAGAGAUCCUGGUUGAUGCUUACCACAAUGCCAAAGGAACUGUAUUAAAGGGUUGCAGCAUUAGGAAGGUUAAAAACCACUGGAAAAAGGCAAAUGUCUGAACAAUAACUGUUUG